rnacentral:rRNA from 1 species
ACUACGGGUGGCAGCAGUGAGGAAUAUUGGUCAAUGGACGGAAGUCUGAACCAGCCAUGCCGCGUGCAGGAAGACGGCUCUAUGAGUUGUAAACUGCUUUUGUACAAGGGUAAACCUGAAUACGUGUAUUCAGCUGAAAGUACUGUACGAAUAAGGAUCGGCUAACUCCUUGCCAGCAGUCGCGGUAAUACGGAGGAUCCAAGCGUUUUCCGGAUUGAUUUGGUUUAAAGGGUUCGUGGGCGGAUUGAUAAGGUAGAGGGGAAAUGUCCGAGCUUAACUCGGGAAUUGCCUCUAAUACUGUUGAUCUAGAGAGUAGAUGCGGUAGGCGGAAUGUAUUGUGUAGCGGUGAAAUGCUUAGAGAUCAUACAGAACACCGGUUGCGAAGGCAGCUUACCAAUCUAUAUCUGACGUUGAGGCACGAAAGCGUGGGGAGCAAACAGGAUUAGAUACCCGGGUAGUC